rnacentral:misc_RNA from 1 species
UUUCCGUAGGUGAACCUGCGGAAGGAUCAUUACCGAGUUUUGAAUGAAUUGGUUCUGGUCUUUCGGCGCAAGUGAACGCUUCGCUCAAUACAUCUUACACCUGUGCACCGAUCGGGGACGACCUGGACCUAAGUUGGGCCACGACGGCGAUCUACAGUCGCCUCUUUAUACCAAAUAACAUUUUUAGAAUGGCAUGUUUGCUUGAUGCAAACUUAAAUAAAUACAACUUUCAGCAACGGAUCUCUUGGUUCUG